UUUGCCCUGUAGAGUAAAUUCUCGCUUGAUUCCUUUUUGUUGGGCAGUUUAUUUUACUCAUAUGCUACUUAUACCUAUUCCAUCACGGUCGUUGCCAGAUUACUCCAGCUCAUGAUCCAGAUGAUUUUGAAGUUGGAAAGCGUCAUAAUCUUCAAUUCAUUAAAUUUUUUUUACCAAUGAUGGGAAGAUAAAUAGCAAUGGGGGCUCAGAGUUUGAAGGAAUGCCGUGGUUUAAAGCUCGUGUGGUCCUGAUUGAAGCAUUGAAGAGCAUGGGUCUUUAUAAAGGUUCUCGAAACAACGAGAUGCGCCUUGGCACUUGUUGGAGAAGCAAUGAUGUUGUGAACCAAUGAAAAGUGACAAUGGUUUGUUAAUUGCAAUGGCAUGGAAAAGGAAGUAUUGAUGCUGUUAUAGAUGAUACUAAAUAUCCAUGACUGGUGCAUCUCGAGGCAACUUUGGUGGGGACACCCACAUUCCAGCAUGGUAUGUGAUGGUGGAGGAUGAUCAGCUUAAAGAAUUUGCUGCAUACAAUGACCAUUGGGUGGUUGGAAGAAAUGAGGAAGAAGCUUUUUUGGAGUAAAAUAAGAUGUUUUCAGAUGGCUUAAGAUCCAGAUGUAUUAGACGCAUGGUUUUCUUCUGGCCUCUUUCCAUUGUCUGUGCUUGGUUGGCUAGAUGAUAUGGUGGAUUUUAGAACAUUUUAUCCAACUUCAGUUCUCGAAACUGGACAUGACAGUCUCGCCUUUUGGGUUGCUCGGAUGGUGAUGCUGGGGAUGAAGCUGGGAGGUGAUGUGCCCUUUA